CCUGAUCAGAACUUCGAACCUUUCAGAUCAUCCUCGGGAAGGUGCGCCCUCUCACGUCACCUCGCCGGGGAC
rnacentral:sRNA from 1 species